CGGCGGCCGCCAUGGAGAUCCCCUCGGCCCAGGGCCGGCGCCUGGUACCUGGCGGGCGGCCCUGACCGCCUUCCUCCCUGCCAGGGCUGGGUCGCGGACGUGCCCCUAGCGGCACUCGGCCUCCUCCGCAUCUCCGCCUUCCCCGGCCCGCACUGCUGCCUGGGCGCGGCGGCGGCGACGGCGCCCUGUUGAAUGGGCUGUGAGGGCCCAGGUUUGAAGCGCUGGCGAACGCGGCCUCCGGGGGCGCACAGCAGCAGCAGCGGUGGCGACCAAACGGGUGUUGGAGUUGGCGGCGGCCAUGGAGGGCCUGGCUGGCUAUGUAUACAAGGCGGCCAGCGAAGGCAAGGUGCUGACUCUGGCCGCCUUGCUUCUCAACCGGUCUGAAAGCGACAUCCGCUAUCUGCUUGGCUAUGUCAGCCAGCAGGGAGGGCAGCGCUCCACGCCUCUCAUCAUCGCAGCCCGCAACGGACACGCAAAGGUGGUACGCAUGCUCUUGGAACAUUACCGGGUGCAGACUCAGCAGACUGGCAGCGUCCGCUUCGACGGGUAUGUCAUUGAUGGUGCCACUGCUCUUUGGUGUGCAGCUGGAGCAGGACAUUUUGGAGUUGUUAAACUUCUAGUCAGCCAUGGAGCCAAUGUGAACCAUACCACAGUAGCUAAUUCAACCUCCCUGCGGGCAGCAUGCUUUGAUGGCAGACUGGACAUUGUGAAAUACUUGGUUGAAAAUAAUGCCAAUAUCAGCAUUGCCAACAAAUAUGACAACACCUGCCUAAUGAUUGCAGCAUAUAAGGGACACACUGAUGUGGUCAGAUACCUUUUAGAACAACGUGCUGAUCCCAAUGCUAAAGCACAUUGUGGAGCCACAGCAUUGCACUUUGCAGCUGAAGCUGGUCACAUAGAUAUUGUGAAAGAGCUGAUAAAAUGGCGUGCUGCUAUAGCAGUGAAUGGCCAUGGGAUGACGCCAUUGAAAGUAGCUGCCGAAAGCUGUAAAGCUGAUGUCGUUGAACGGUUGCUCUCUCAUGCUGAUUGUGACCGAAGAAGUCGGAUUGAAGCUUUGGAACUCUUGGGUGCCUCCUUUGCAAAUGACCCUGAGAACUAUGACAUCAUAAAGACAUACCACUAUCUAUAUUUAGCCAUGUUAGAGAGGUUUCAAGAUGGUGAUAACAUUCUCGAAAAAGAGGUUCUUCCACCAAUCCAUGCUUAUGGGAAUAGAACUGAAUGUAGAAAUCCUCAGGAACUGGAGUCCAUUCCGCAAGACAGAGAUGCUCUUCAUAUGGAAGGCCUUAUAGUUCGGGAACGGAUUUUAGGUGCUGACAAUAUUGAUGUUUCUCAUCCCAUCAUUUACAGGGGAGCUGUUUAUGUGGAUAACAUGGAAUUUGAGCAGUGUAUCAAGUUGUGGCUUCACGCCCUGCACCUCAGACAAAAAGGUAACAGGAACACCCACAAGGAUCUUCUUCGAUUUGCUCAAGUUUUCUCACAAAUGAUACAUUUGAAUGAAACUGUGAAGGCCCCAGACAUAGAAUGUGUUUUGAGAUGCAGUGUUUUGGAAAUAGAACAAAGUAUGAACAGAGUGAAAAAUAUUUCAGAUGCUGAUGUCCACAAUGCUAUGGACAAUUAUGAAUGUAAUAUCUAUACCUUUCUGUAUUUAGUGUGCAUCUCUACCAAAACACAGUGCAGCGAAGAAGAUCAGUGCAAAAUUAACAAGCAGAUCUACAACCUGAUUCAUCUUGAUCCCAGAACUCGUGAAGGUUUCACCUUGUUGCAUCUGGCUGUCAAUUCCAAUACUCCAGUUGAUGAUUUCCACACCAAUGACGUCUGCAGCUUUCCAAAUGCACUUGUCACAAAGCUCCUACUGGACUGUGGUGCAGAGGUGAAUGCCGUGGACAAUGAGGGAAACAGUGCCCUUCAUAUUAUCGUUCAGUACAACAGGCCCAUCAGUGAUUUUUUGACCUUGCACUCCAUCAUCAUUAGCCUAGUUGAAGCUGGAGCUCACACUGACAUGACAAAUAAACAGAAUAAGACUCCGCUAGACAAAAGUACAACUGGGGUAUCUGAAAUACUACUUAAAACUCAAAUGAAGAUGAGUCUCAAGUGCCUGGCUGCCCGAGCAGUUCGGGCUAAUGACAUUAACUACCAAGACCAGAUCCCCAGAACUCUUGAAGAGUUUGUUGGAUUUCAUUAAGUGACUGGAUAUGUAAAGUUGUUUAAUGUGGUGCUAAAAAGUAAAGGACUUUAAUCACA